rnacentral:rRNA from 1 species
CACUCGGCUCGUAGGUCGAUGAAGAACGCAGCCAACUGCGACAACUAGUGUGAACUGCAGAUAUUUUGAACACUAAGAUUUCGAAUGCACAUUGCGCCAUGGGAAUUUUAUCCCUUGGCACAUCUGGUUCAGGGUCGUUAUUAUCUAAAGCGA